rnacentral:piRNA from 1 species
UCCCAACCCUGAUAGCCGUAAUUGAGA